UGGCUCAGGACGAACGCUGGCGGCGUGCCUAACACAUGCAAGUCGAACGAAGCACUUUCUCGGAGAUUCGUCGAAGAGGGAUUUGACUUAGUGGCGGACGGGUGAGUAAUACAUGAGCAACCUGCCCUGAGGAGGGGGACAACAGUUGGAAACGACUGCUAAUACCGCAUGAUGUAUCCGGGAGGCAUCUUCUGGAUACCAAAGAUUUAUCGCCUUGGGAUGGGCUCAUGUCUGAUUAGCUAGUUGGUGGGGUAACGGCCCACCAAGGCUGCGAUCAGUAGCCGGACUGAGAGGUUGAACGGCCACAUUGGGACUGAGAUACGGCCCAGACUCCUACGGGAGGCAGCAGUGGGGAAUAUUGGGCAAUGGGCGAAAGCCCUGACCCAGCAACGCCGCGUGAAGGAAGAAGGCCUUCGGGUUGUAAACUUCUUUUAUGAGGGACGAAGGACGUGACGGUACCUCAUGAAUAAGCCACGGCUAACUACGUGCCAGCCGCGGC
rnacentral:rRNA from 1 species